rnacentral:tRNA from 1 species
UUGUUGGUGGCUCAGAGGUUAAAGCGUCUGCCUGGAUUGCAGGAGACCCGGGUUCAAUCCCUGUCGGGAAG